UACGGAGGGUGCGAGCGUUGUCCGGAAUCACUGGGCGUAAAGGGCGCGUAGGCGGCUCGAGCAGUCAACGGUGAAAGCUUGGGGCUCAACCCCGAGUCGGCCGUCGAUACUCUCGAGCUGGAGCACUGUAGAGGCAGGUGGAAUUCCGGGUGUAGCGGUGGAAUGCGUAGAGAUCCGGAAGAACACCGGUGGCGAAGGCGGCCUGCUGGGCAGUAGCUGACGCUGAGGCGCGACAGCGUGGGGAGCAAACAGG
rnacentral:rRNA from 1 species